rnacentral:lncRNA from 1 species
UCUCGUUGAAGAUGUGAAUAUCUGUCUGCAGGCAUGCAGCAGUCUACCUGCUCUGUCCUCUUCCUUGCCAGAUGAUCUUUUACAGAGGUAUGAAAUUAAGAUCAUGUCUUUUGACAUUAAUCCUAAUAACUUUGAAAUGUUAACACACCUGCUUUGUCUAUUUCGUUCUUUCAUAGAUGUGUUGAUGUUUGCCAUGUUCAACUAGUGCACUGUGGAACUCGUAUUCGACAAGCAUUUGGAAAACUGUUGAAAUCAAUUCCUUUAGAUGUUAUCCUAAGCAAUAACAAUCACACAGAAAUUCAAGAAAUUUCUUUAGCAUUAAGAAGUCACAUGAGUAAAGCACCAAGUAAUACAUUCCACCCCCAAGAUUUCUCUGAUGUUAUUAGUUUUAUUUUGUAUGGGAACUCUCAUAGAACAGGGAAGGACAAUUGGUUGGAAAGACUGUUCUAUAGCUGCCAGAGACUGGAUAAGCAUGACCAGUCAACAAUUCCACGCAAUCUCCUGAAGACAGAUGCUAUCCUUUGGCAGUGGGCCGUAUGGGAAGCUGCACAAUUCACUGUUCUUUCUAAGCUGAGAACCCCACUGGGCAGAGCUCAAGACACCUUCCAGACAAUUGAAGGUAUCAUUCGAAGUCUCGCAGCUCACACAUUAAACCCUGAUCAGGAUGUUAGUCAGUGGACAACUGCAGACAGUGAUGAAGGCCAUGGUAACAACCAACUUAGACUUGUUCUUCUUCUGCAGUAUCUGGAAUAUCUGGAGAAAUUAAUGUAUAAUGCAUACGAGGGAUGUGCUAAUGCAUUAACUUCACCUCCCAAGGACUGGCUAACGCGGAUUCGACUCUCCAUCAUGAGGGUAGGAUUGUUGGCAGGCCAGCCUGCAGUGACAGUGAGACAUGGCUUUGACUUGCUUACAGAGAUGAAAACAACCAGCCUAUCUCAGGGGAAUGAAUUGGAAGUAACCAUUAUGAUGGUGGUAGAAGCACUAUGUGAACUUCAUUGUCCUGAAGCUAUACAGGGAAUUGCUGUCUGGUCAUCAUCUAUUGUUGGAAAAAAUCUUCUGUGGAUUAACUCAGUGGCUCAACAGGCUGAAGGGAGGUUUGAAAAGGCCUCUGUGGAGUACCAGGAACACCUGUGUGCCAUGAUAGGUGUUCAUUGCUGCAUCUCCAGCUUUGACAAAUCGGUGCUCACCUUAGCCAAUGCUGGGUGUAACAGUGCCAGCCCGAAACAUUGUCUGAAUGGUGAAUCCAGAAAAACUGUGCUGUCCAAACCGACUGACUCUUCCCCUGAGGUUAUAAAUUAUUUAGGAAAUAAAGCAUGUGAGUGCUACAUCUCAAUUGCCGAUUGGGCUGCUGUGCAGGAAUGGCAGAACGCUAUCCAUGACUUGAAAAAGAGUACCAGUAGCACUUCCUUCAACCUGAAAGCUGACUUCAACUAUAUAAAAUCAUUAAGCAGCUUUGAGUCUGGAAAAUUUGUCAAAUGUACCGAGCAAUUAGAAUUGUUACCAGGAGAAAAUAUCAAUCUACUUGCUGGAGGGUCAAAAG